UACGGGGGGGGCAAGCGUUGUUCGGAAUUACUGGGCGUAAAGGGCUCGUAGGCGGCCAACUAAGUCAUACGUGAAAUCCCUCGGCUUAACCGGGGAACUGCGUCUGAUACUGGAUGGCUUGAGUUCGGGAGAGGGAUGCGGAAUUCCAGGUGUAGCGGUGAAAUGCGUAGAUAUCGAGAGGAACACCGGUGGCGAAGGCGGCCAACUGGACGAAUACUGACGCUGAGACUCGAAAGCGUGGGGAGCAAACAGG
rnacentral:rRNA from 1 species